rnacentral:rRNA from 1 species
AACGAACGUUGGCGGCAGGCUUAACACAUGCAAGUCGAGCGCCCCGCAAGGGGAGCGGCAGACGGGUGCGUAACGCGUGGGAAUCUACCCAUCUCUACGGAAUAACGCAUGGAAACGUGUGCCAAUACCGUCUACGUCCUCCGGGAGAAAGAUUUAUCGGAGAUGGAUGAGCCCGCGUUGGAUUAGCUAGUUGGUGGGGUAAAGGCCUACCAAAGCGACGAGCCAUAGCUGGUCUGAGAGGAUGAUCAGCCACACUGGGACGGAGACACGGACCAGACUCCUACGGGAGGCAGCAGUGGGGAAGAUUGGACAAGGGGCGCAAGCCUGAUCCAGCCAUGCCGCGUGAGUGAUGAAGGCCCUAGGGUUGUAAAGCUCUUUCACCGGUGAAGAUAAUGACGGUAACCGGAGAAGAAGCCCCGGCUAACUUCGUGCCAGCCGCCGCCGUAAAAC